rnacentral:rRNA from 1 species
GCAGUCGAACGGUGAAGCCAAGCUUGCUUGGUGGAUCAGUGGCGAACGGGUGAGUAACACGUGAGCAACCUGCCCUGGACUCUGGGAUAAGCGCUGGAAACGGCGUCUAAUACUGGAUAUGAGACGUGAUCGCAUGGUCGUGUUUGGAAAGAUUUUUCGGUCUGGGAUGGGCUCGCGGCCUAUCAGCUUGUUGGUGAGGUAAUGGCUCACCAAGGCGUCGACGGGUAGCCGGCCUGAGAGGGUGACCGGCCACACUGGGACUGAGACACGGCCCAGACUCCUACGGGAGGCAGCAGUGGGGAAUAUUGCACAAUGGGCGAAAGCCUGAUGCAGCAACGCCGCGUGAGGGAUGACGGCCUUCGGGUUGUAAACCUCUUUUAGCAGGGAAGAAGCGAAAGUGACGGUACCUGCAGAAAAAGCGCCGGCUAACUACGUGCCAGCAGCCGCGGUAAUACGUAGGGCGCAAGCGUUAUCCGGAAUUAUUGGGCGUAAAGAGCUCGUAGGCGGUUUGUCGCGUCUGCUGUGAAAUCCCGAGGCUCAACCUCGGGCCUGCAGUGGGUACGGGCAGACUAGAGUGCGGUAGGGGAGAUUGGAAUUCCUGGUGUAGCGGUGGAAUGCGCAGAUAUCAGGAGGAACACCGAUGGCGAAGGCAGAUCUCUGGGCCGUAACUGACGCUGAGGAGCGAAAGGGUGGGGAGCAAACAGGCUUAGAUACCCUGGUAGUCCACCCCGUAAACGUUGGGAACUAGUUGUGGGGACCAUUCCACGGUUUCCGUGACGCAGCUAACGCAUUAAGUUCCCCGCCUGGGGAGUACGGCCGCAAGGCUAAAACUCAAAGGAAUUGACGGGGACCCGCACAAGCGGCGGAGCAUGCGGAUUAAUUCGAUGCAACGCGAAGAACCUUACCAAGGCUUGACAUAUACGAGAACGGGCCAGAAAUGGUCAACUCUUUGGACACUCGUAAACAGGUGGUGCAUGGUUGUCGUCAGCUCGUGUCGUGAGAUGUUGGGUUAAGUCCCGCAACGAGCGCAACCCUCGUUCUAUGUUGCCAGCACGUAAUGGUGGGAACUCAUGGGAUACUGCCGGGGUCAACUCGGAGGAAGGUGGGGAUGACGUCAAAUCAUCAUGCCCCUUAUGUCUUGGGCUUCACGCAUGCUACAAUGGCCGGUACAAAGGGCUGCAAUACCGUGAGGUGGAGCGAAUCCCAAAAAGCCGGUCCCAGUUCGGAUUGAGGUCUGCAACUCGACCUCAUGAAGUCGGAGUCGCUAGUAAUCGC